ensembl:lncRNA
AAUCAACGUCGUUGACAGGCUAUGACAGCGCCCUUAUGUGCCGACACCGGUGCAGUGUUGCCAACUUAGCGACUUUGUCGCUAUAUUUAGCGAGUUUUCAGACCCCCUUAGCGACUUUUUUUCUGAAAAGCGACUAGCGACAAAUCUGGCGACUUUUUCUGGUGUUAUUGGAGUCUUAUUUAUGACGACUUUUUGACGUGAAAGCGCAUAUCGCUCCUACUCUCAACAAGCAGCGGGUGCUGCCGUGGGCACCUCGCCCGUGCCAAAGCGCUCAUAGGCGGAGGAUAGUCCUCACGCAGCUGCUAUCAUGGUAGGAGACGUUCACCCCUAUGCGUUCAAACUGCAAAUGAAUCGCGCAUGAGCGAAGCCGCUGCUCCCGCACUGACUGUAACGCAGUCAAUUCUUCUUUCAAUGUUAUGCUGUUUUGUGGAUCACAAGGUUUAAAACUACUCAUAAACACACACACAAAGUAACCCCACCAGAGUGCCGAUUUUGGGUCACUUUUGCCAGUCCAAGUCCGGGUAAAGGAGCAGGGUUGGAAUUGUGACAUUAAAAAAAACAAAACAAUAAUUGCUAAAAGAAAUUUAAUUUGUAGUUCUAAAUAAAUUCUAAAUGCAUUUAGGACGUUUUUUACUCACUUUAUGUCUCUUCCAUGAUGUUAUUUCUCUCUCCAACAACGUAGGUUACAUUUACAUUAGCAUGACCAAUUAUGCAAAUUAGGCGAUGACGUCAUUUAGCGACUUCUAGCGACUUUGAGGACAGCCAAUAGCGAUUUUCCUUACUGAGGAGUUGGCAACACUGCACCGGUGUUUUAGCUAGCAAAGCGGCGUGGCUGAUGUGGAGUGAAGCCACGUUAAUGACAACGUGUACAACCAUUGGAGAUGUGAGCAGGACAGACAGGCAAAUUGGAGGAGAAGGCUGCUGCUUUGAAUACAAAGUAAAUGAUGACUAUGGACCAUUCCUCAUCAGUGUGAAUGGCUUGGCAGGAAAUUCAUCACACUACUGGCAACUGCUGAGUGGUACAACCCCACUUGAUGUUGGUAUGGGAUGUUACAUUCCAACAGCAAAUGAAGUCAUCACCCUUAAAUACACCUCAACACAACAGGAUCAUCUGAAGUUUCAUUCUGACUUAUAGUCAACCAACAUGGUUUGGUUUUUGGCAGGUUUAAGUUAAUACUUAGUUUUUGGGUAAUUUUUCUGUUUGGAAGCGUUUUUAAUGACAAAAUGUUUUGAAAAUCUUCUAAUCAUAAAUUGGUAGCCUAUCACUGUCUUAGUUUCUUUGACUGGGUUUGUGUUAGACUUAAUGAAUUAAGAUUACAGCUUUUAUCUACACGUCUGCCACAGUGUAGUAACCUGAAGUAACAGAAAACUCCAUUGGUUACAAGAGUAAUCAGUAAAACAUAUUAAAGUUUAAAGACAUGCAACACUUGCAUAUUAGUCAACUGAAGUUCUUGAACUGUUUUUUAAUUUACUGCCUUUAUGGCAACUUUUAUUGUGUUUGAGAGUAAUUAGUAGUUUCUCAACUUGCUCCUGAGUGUCAUAAUUUUACAUUCAAAUUCCAUUAUUUGAGAGGUACUUAUAUACUGACAAGGGAUAUCAGUUUCAGUGUAAAAAGAUGGUGUGGUUAUACAGUAGAGUGCUCAAAGUCUGCUGGCCAGGAAAAACAGCCAAUAAGGGCAGCUUAGCUUUAAAAUGGCUUCUGCAUCCUACGAAUCCAGUUAUCAACAGCUUGGGAGCCAGGAGGCUUCUGAGAUUGACUGGGAAGCUGACCUCCUCUUGGACACCAGCAAGUCUCUAAGAUCAGCUGUGAAAUUAAAACUAUUUUUGAGCUUUUGGGGGCUCCUAUGGGGUUGUGAGCAGAAUAAGAACAAAUUUAUUGCUUAAUAAUUUUUGUAUUAGUGCAUUACUGUUGAAUAACUGUUGAAUAAAAGCCUCCACUAACCACUCUGGUUUGGUGAGGAAAGAAAAAAAAUCAGCAAAGAGGGGAAAAAAAAAAUAAAAAAAUUAAGAGCUCUGAGAAAAAAACUGUUGUCAAUCUAUCCGGGUAGUGUGUGUAUGUGUGUGGAUAAGCCCAGUGCUUAUCUGUAAAGUUUAGUAGAAUCUUUGUUCGCCAUCCUCCUGGGUGGAGGGAUAUGUCUCUGGAGAAGAACUUCAGUGGAUUCACAUUCAGUCUCUCGCAUUAUGUCACAACAUAGUAAAAAAACAACUGGAAAAUGGGAUGUAUGGUGAGCAAAUCGCCAUAAGUCUUUAUCUGUAAAAACCUUAACACUUAUUAUUUUAAGGUUCCUAUUCACUCCAGUACUCCAU